rnacentral:rRNA from 1 species
UACGGAGGGUGCAAGCGUUAUCCGGAUUCACUGGGUUUAAAGGGUGCGUAGGUGGCUUUGUAAGUCAGUGGUGAAAGCCCGGAGCUCAACUCCGGAACUGCCAUUGAUACUGCUUAGCUUGAAUCACGUCGAGGUGGAUGGAAUAUUACAUGUAGCGGUGAAAUGCUUAGAUAUGUAAUAGAACACCGAUUGCGAAGGCAGUUCACUAGGCGUGUAUUGACACUGAGGCACGAAAGCGUGGGGAUCAAACAGG